UACGUAGGUGGCGAGCGUUAUCCGGAAUGAUUGGGCGUAAAGGGUGCGCAGGCGGUUUUAUAAGUUAGAGGUGAAAUCUCGGGGCUCAACUCCGAAAUUGCCUCUAAUACUGUAGGACUAGAGAGUAGUUGCGGUAGGCGGAAUGUAUGGUGUAGCGGUGAAAUGCUUAGAGAUCAUACAGAACACCGAUUGCGAAGGCAGCUUACCAAGCUACUUCUGACGUUGAGGCACGAAAGCGUGGGGAGCAAACAGG
rnacentral:rRNA from 1 species